rnacentral:rRNA from 1 species
UACGUAGGUCCCGAGCGUUGUCCGGAUUUAUUGGGCGUAAAGCGAGCGCAGGUGGUUUAUUAAGUCUGGUGUAAAAGGCGGUGGCUCAACCAUUGUAUGCAUUGGAAACUGGUAGACUUGAGUGCAGGAGAGGAGAGUGGAAUUCCAUGUGUAGCGGUGAAAUGCGUAGAUAUAUAGAGGAACACCGGUGGCGAAAGCGGCUCUCUGGCCUGUAACUGACACUGAGGCUCGGAAGCGUGGGGAGCAAACAGG